UCGAACCACACGAGAAACAUGCCCCAGUCUGUUUAUAACAAGCUCUACCCGGAUGGUGUCUACCACAUGUAGCACAAGGAGCCACCAGAAUCAUAUUGGGGUUACCCCCAUACGCUGGAUAACGUCCCUGUCCCCUCUGACGAUUCUGCCACUGUCUAGGCUGCUGCUGAAACUGCUGAGUCUGCCCCUGCUGAGCCUGCCCCUGACCACUAUACUGAUUCUGUCUCUGACCAUGAGCUGUAUGACCUCCCCUAUUCUGGUUCUGUCCACGCCACUGUCCAUACCGACUGUUC
rnacentral:lncRNA from 1 species